AGUCGAGGGGUAACGGAAGUAGCUUGCUACUAGACGACGACCGGCGCACGGGUGAGUAACGCGUAUGUAAUCUGCCUUGUACAGAGGGAUAGCCCAGAGAAGUUUGGAUUAAUACCUCAUAGUAUUACUGAAUCGCAUGAUUUGGUAAUUAAAGCUCCGGCGGUACAAGAUGAACAUGCGUGACAUUAGCUAGUUGGUAAGGUAACGGCUUACCAAGGCCACGAUGUCUAGGGGUUCUGAGAGGAUGAUCCCCCACACUGGUACUGAGACACGGACCAGACUCCUACGGGAGGCAGCAGUGAGGAAUAUUGGUCAAUGGACGCAAGUCCGAACCAGCCAUCCCGCGUGAAGGAUGACUGCCCUAUGGGUUGUAAACUUCUUUUAUAUGCAAAUAAACCUACUUUCGUGAAAGUAGCUGAAGGUAGCAUAUGAAUAAACACCGGCUAACUCCGUGCCAGCAGCCGCGGUAAUACGGAGGGUGUAAGCGUUAUCCGGAUUUAUUGGGUUUAAAGGGUACGUAGGCGGUAAUAUAAGUCAGUGGUGAAAUCCUGCAGCUCAACUGUA
rnacentral:rRNA from 1 species